CUCAUUUCAUCUCCUUUCUUCUUCAUCAUGGGCUCUGAGAUGGUGAUGGUGGAUGAUAUCCCUUACCCUCCCGAGAUCACAACCUCGAAGCCUCUCUCCCUAUUGGGACAUGGUCUCACUGAUAUUGUGAUUCAUUUCCUUCAAAUAAAAUACAAUGCUGUCGGGAUUUACCUAGAGAAGGAAAUCGCCUCACAUCUUGGUAAAUGGAAGGGCAAGAAAGGCGCAGAGCUCGCUGAGGAUGAUCUCUUCUUCGACGAUAUCGUCUCAGCUCCGGUGGAGAAAAUUUUCAGGAUUGUGGUGAUAAAGGAGAUCAAGGGCUCUCAGUAUGGUGUGCAGCUGGAGAGCGCGGUUAGGGAUCGGUUGGCCGCGGUCGAUAAGUACGAGGAGGAGGAGGAAGAGGCUCUCGAGAAGGUCACAGAGUUCUUCCAGACCAAAUAUUUCAAGAAAGAUUCUGUGAUCACCAUCCAUUUCCCUGCUGCCACUCCUACUGCAGAGAUAUCAUUUGUGACAGAAGGAAAGGGGGAGGCGAAAAUGAAGGUGGAAAAUACUAAUGUGAUUGAGAUGAUACAGAAGUGGUAUUUGGGUGGGAGCAGAGCUGUUUCCGAAACAACCGUGAAAAGCCUGGCUGAUAAUCUUGGGGAAAUUCUGUGUCAGUAGUAUUGUAUUGUGAGGAAUUGGGUUAGUUCCAAAAUAAUGCUACCUCAACGAUAAUAAUUUCAGUUUCUGUGUUCUGAUUCUUUCGAGUGCCUAGGAAUUCAGAAAUUGUAUUUGAGUGAUUAUAGUCA
rnacentral:misc_RNA from 1 species